UAUGCUUUUUUACCACCUUCUAAAGGACAUCCAUGAAAAUUGAGCAUUGUGCAAGGACAGGAACGAAAAGUAGCCCUGUUGGAAAAGCUAUUUUUGGACAUUAAAGUUAGGCACUUCAUGAGGUAAUAGUAAUGCAAAACUUGCUUCCCAUCCAUAGGAAAACAUUCAAUACGUUUUUUUAAACAGGUUAUGGUUUUUACGAAGAAAAGAGGCUGCAGAACGCCUCUGACGUAAAUUAUGGCCGUUUUUCCAUCAUUUGCUUCCAGCCGUGACCGGUCAUUUUUCCCGUUUCCUGAACGCGGAUGCAGUUGAGCAUGACGGUAGAAAGUUUACUAUCGCUGCUAGUUAACACUUCGUCAUCAGUCGGUUGCCUGAAACGUUACAUUGUUCCCCAAACAGUGGCUCUCUGGCUCGUUCUGCUGUCACGGUCGCGCUGAAGUAACUACACCAUUUAUACGACUCUCUGGGCCACUCCAACAAAAUGAAACCGAAUCUUCCUACCGUACAACGUAUUGCAAUGUUUGAUGCCGAAUCCGUCGCCGAUGCCCUUCAUAAAGCAACAACUGACUCAGACACUGACGAAGAAGCCUUCACGACCAUUUUUUUGCCAUCGAAAAAAUCGGGAAAUGUAUAAAGCAGUGAUUGGAGUAGGAACUAGCGAAGGGAGAAUGGUUGUCUCGGCAACGGAACUAAUCAGGAGACACUCGAAAUGAGCGCUAUAUACCAACGACUAUACGGUCAUCCCGCGCAAGACGAUACUAAACGAGAUACUUUUGGAGACUUCGACGCGUUGCUUCUUUCACCUGUUCAGGUUCAAGGAGACGAGACGCAGAUGGCCUGUGUGGCGCAAGCUAAACCGACGCCUGCAUUUGUUUGAAGCCGGUAUACUAAAACUUAUGAUGACUCCUACUAUUAGCUUAUGCAGCUGAGCGACCAAACUAGAAACUGAUGAAAAAGUUUUCUAUUCCAUUCUAACAAUCCUUGGCUGGGGUCAAUUACGUCACACUAUUGCCGAAUAUGAGACUAUGCAUGGCCUCUCUUUGGAAAAUGCCGUGACAAGCGAAUCUUCCGCCAACGCUCGACGGGGUAUCUUAGAACUAUUGGAGCGUGUCCAAAAUCGACCGGGAGACCUCGCUGAGCGUUUAUACAAUGCUCUAAAACGAUUAGGCACCAGCGAGUAAAGCUAACUUGAUCUAACGUAGGUUUUUUUAGUUUUCUUUAACUGAAAGUAAUCACCAAUUGGUUCUUUCAGUCGCCACCUUAUUCUUCCUAUCAUCAGCCGCUGCGAUGUUGAUCUGGGCAACAUUAAAAGAGUACGAAAAAAAAAAUUCGGCACAGGUCUUCAAGCUGAUGUUUCGGACCAUACGUCUCGUGACUGUAGAAAAGCUCUUUUAACACUUAAUGAUUGAGAACUGGAAAAACAUUUGUGCACAGGAAACUGCGCUACUAUAAAAUAAAAUUAUAUUCAAAAUUACUUUAUAUUGAAAGGUAUAAAUCGGUCACUUGGAGAGAGCUUUGGUAAGUUUGCUCCGCCGUAGUAAGACACGAUCACUUGGCUAGCGAGAAAGCUAAUGGCAUUUUCAAUUUCCUCUGGAUACCAAAGUGGAGUCAGAAAUUGAAACUAUAUCGAUAAACAAACACAAAGGUGAAUUAACAAUCAUUCAACGUUAGGAGUAUCAGAAGGAGUUACCUCACUGAUUGAAUCACUGGUGGCGCAGAAACUACACUGUUGGCCGAACAGUUUGAACAAAGCUUCGAACACGAUUUGUUCACCUUGCCGUCGAACGCGGAACGAAAAAACGACUCAGCCCUUCAUUGGCGUCCAACCGCAUUUGCAGUAAUGACAAUUGUUAUCAAUAAAAUUACGACGACUUAAAAGAGUAGUUUAAGAAAAGAGAACUAUCAAUGUUUACCUG